UACGUAGGGCGCAAGCGUUAUCCGGAAUUAUUGGGCGUAAAGAGCUCGUAGGCGGUUUGUCGCGUCUGCCGUGAAAGUCCGGGGCUCAACUCCGGAUCUGCGGUGGAUACUGUCGGGCUAGAGUGCGGAAGAGGCGAGUGGAAUUCCUGGUGUAGCGGUGAAAUGCGCAGAUAUCAGGAGGAACACCGGUGGCGAAGGCGGUGGUCUGGGCCGGCACUGACGCUGAGGAGCGAAAGCGUGGGUAGCAAACAGG
rnacentral:rRNA from 1 species